UAGAGGCCUACCAUGGUGGUAACGGGUAACGGGGUGUUAGGGCACGACACCGGAGAGGGAGCCUGAGAAACGGCUACCACAUCCAAGGAUGGCAGCAGGCGCGCAAAUUACCCAAUCCCGACACGGGGAGGUAGUGACAAUAAAUAACAAUACGGGGUUCUUUCGGAUCUCGUAAUUGGAAUGAGUACAAUUUAAAUCUCUUAACGAGGAACAAUUGGAGGGCAAGUCUGGUGCCAGCAGCCGCGGUAAUUCCAGCUCCAAUAGCGUAUAUUAAAGUUGUUGCAGUUAAAAAGCUCGUAGUUGAAUUUCGGGGUUAGUAGGUUGGUCAUGCCUCUGGUAUGUACUGGUCUCACUGAUUCCUCCUUCCUGAUGAACCGUAAUGCCAUUAAUUUGGUGUUGCGGGGAAUUUGGACUGUUACUUUGAAAAAAUUAGAGUGUUUAAAGCAAGCUAACGCUUGAAUACAUUAGCAUGGAAUAAUGAAAUAGGACGUUCGAUCUUAUUUUGUUGGUUUCUAGGAUUGACGUAAUGAUUAAUAGGGAUAGUUGGGGGCAUUAGUAUUCAAUUGUCAGAGGUGAAAUUCUUGGAUUUAUUGAAGACUAACUACUGCGAAAGCAUUUGCCAAGGAUGUUUUCAUUAAUCAAGAACGAAAGUUAGGGGAUCGAAGACGAUCAGAUACCGUCGUAGUCUUAACCAUAAACUAUGCCGACUAGGGAUCGG
rnacentral:rRNA from 1 species